AUUAUAUGGAUAUAUUUAAGUAGUAAUAUAAGAUAUAAAAACUUAAUCUAUUUGGCGGUUUACUAACCUUACAUAGGAAUUUGCCAAAUUUAAUUGAUAACCCGCCUUUAAUUUCACCAGUUUUAAUUUUAUGUACGGCUGUUUAGUUUUAAUAUAAUAAUUUUUACUAAAAAUUUAAAUUCUAAAUUCAGGUCAAUGUGUAAAUAAUAAACUGGGUUUUGGUGAGUUACUAUAAUAAAAAAUGUUCAUAAAUUAACAAUUAAUAAGGAUAUGUUAGUAAAAUAAAAAUAAAUUAUAUAUUUGAUGAAGGAUCUAGUAAAAGUACA
rnacentral:rRNA from 1 species